rnacentral:rRNA from 1 species
CACGUAGUUAGCCGGGGCUUCUUGGUCAGGUACCGUCAUUGCUUUCUUCCCUGCUGACAGAGCUUUACAUACCGAAAUACUUCUUCACUCAUGCGGCGUCGCUGGAUCAGGGUUCCCCCCAUUGUCCAAUAUCCCCCACUGCUGCCUCCCGUAGGAGUUUGGGCCGUGUCUCAGUCCCAAUGUGGCCGUCCACCCUCUCAGGCCGGCUACUGAUCGUCGCCUUGGUGGGCCUUUACCCCGCAACCAGCUAAUCAGACGCGGGUCCAUCUUGCACCACCGGAGUUUUUCACACUGUCCCAUCGCAGGACCGUGCGCUUAUGCGGUAUUAGCACCUUAUUCUAAGUGUUACUCCCCCAGUGACAGGCACGGUUACCACGCGUUACUCACCCGUCCGCCACUAAGAUUGCUACUUG